AAUGCCUUUGAUGUUUUACCAAAACAUAUUUCUAGCAGUCACUGGUAUGCCAUUGAAUAACAUUAAUAUUGUGAACCUAGGUUGAGUAAAAGGCUAGCAAGAAAUCUUACCCGAGACCCUGAUAUUUGACCAUGCUCUACAUUUGAUCCAUUGGUUAACUGAUGCGUCCAAUUGCUAGGACUAAUUUUGUGUGUGAUGUAAAAUUUGAUGGCAGAUAAGAAAUACUGGC